rnacentral:rRNA from 1 species
GAAUAUUGGACAAUGGGCGAAAGCCUGAUCCAGCCAUGCCGCGUGAGUGAUGAAGGCCUUAGGGUUGUAAAGCUCUUUCAGUGGGGAAGAUAAUGACGGUACCCACAGAAGAAGCUCCGGCUAACUUCGUGCCAGCAGCCGCGGUAAUACGAAGGGGGCUAGCGUUGUUCGGAUUUACUGGGCGUAAAGCGCGUGUAGGCGGGCCGGUAAGUUGGGGGUGAAAUCCCGAGGCUCAACCUCGGAACUGCCUCCAAAACUGUCGGCCUGGAGCAAGAUAGAGGCGAGUGGAAUUGCGAGUGUAGAGGUGAAAUUCGUAGAUAUUCGCAGGAACACCAGUGGCGAAGGCGACUCGCUGGAUCUUUGCUGACGCUGAGACGCGAAAGCGUGGGGAGCAAACAG